UGAGGCAGGAGAAUAGCUUGAACCUGGAGGGGGAGGUUGAAGUGAGCUGAGAUUGCGCCACUACACUUCAGCCUGGGUGACAGAGACUCCGUCUCAAAACAAACACAA
rnacentral:miRNA from 1 species